UUACGGCCAUAUCACAUUGAAAUACCGGUUCUCCUACGAUCACGGAAGUUAAGCAACGUCGAGUUUCGUCAGUUUCUAGAUGGGUGACCGCUUGGGCAUAUCAGGGGCAGUA